rnacentral:tmRNA from 1 species
GGGGAUGUGUUGGUUUUGAUAGGAGUAUCCCAGUAUGAUCGAUGGCCACCACUCGAUGAGCGUACCGAGUCUAAAAUAAUCGUUCACGCACCAAAAAUGCAAACUCUAAUCUAAGACUCAACGUAGCAAAGAAAUUCGCUUUCGCUGCUUAGUCAAGUCCUCUUUAUGGGGCAUAACCCGUCUUGCGUGAUCUCUCUACAAUCGCAGGGUAGUGGCGCUGGAGAUACCCAAGGUUCUGACUAUUACAAAACUUACUGGUCUGACACUAUGUCCGUGUAAGUGCUCGUAAUAGUACGACUGAAAACAAUAACCAGAGUCUCUAAAAUAGUGCUAUAGUGGUACACUGUCCUCAUCCUGACUUCUAGACGCGGGUUCGAAUCCCGCCAUCUCCA